rnacentral:lncRNA from 1 species
AUGGCCGAGGCCGCGGGCCCGAAGGCUCAGCGAGAGGAGGCUAGAGAGGGCCCCGCGGAGGCGCCGGGGGGCGACGGGGCGGGCGCAGCCGCGACGGCCGCGGGGCCCGAGGGAGAAGGCCCGGGGCCGGCCGGAGGGCGAACGGGCGGGCUGGAACCGGGCUCCGGCGGGGGCCCGGGAGCCGAGACGCGGGGCGGGAGCGGGGCGCAGGGCCAGGCCGAGGCAGGGGAGGACGCCCGCGGGGGAGAGGGGCCGACGAGCGGCGCGGAGCCGGAGGAGGAGGCGAGCCCCGGGCCAGGUGUGCAGGGCGAGGAGCCGGGGGAGGCUCAGGGGGGGCGCGGGGACCCCGCUGCCCUGAACGCCAAGGAAGAAGCGGGGAGCGGGCCGAGGGAGCCGGCCGGCAGCGCGCCUGGGGCGUCUGGGGCCCGCGUGGACGGCCCGGAGUCGGUGGGGAACAGCGUGGACGCCGAGAGAUCGGUGGGGGCCCGCGUGGACGCCGAGGGGCCGGCGGGGGAGAGCGUGGGAGCCGAGGAUUCGGUGGCGGAUAGCACAGAUGUCGGGGGGCCAGCAGGGGCCAGCACGGAUGUCGGGAUGCCGACGGCAGGAGCGCAGGGCGCGGAGGGUGAGCCCCGGGACGGAGGGGGCCACAGACCCCAGUCCGAGGCAGAGGCCGGUGAGGACGCGGACCAGGGUGGGCCCCCGGGGCAGGCGGAGGAGGCCGAAGAGGAGAGGCCGGAGCGGGGUCUCCAGGGGCCAAGCGAGGAGGCCACGGCCGGGGGCGAGGAGGAGGGCACCGCGGCUGGAGAGGCGAUCCGGCCGGCGGAGGUCGGGGAGCCCCAGGCUGACCUGAGCAACCACCUGGCGGACGAGCGCAGCGCUGAACGCGGCGGCGGGACAGUGCCCGAGAACGGCGGCCAGGAGGGCGGCGAGGCGUCCGAGGAGGGGUCCCCGGGGCAGGACCACGACAUCACUCUCUUCGUGAAGGCUGGCUGUGAUGGUGAGAGUAUUGGCAAUUGCCCAUUUUCUCAGCGUCUCUUUAUGAUUCUCUGGCUGAAGGGCGUUAUAUUUAAUGUGACAACAGUGGACUUGAAAAGGAAACCCGCGGACCUGCAGAACUUGGCUCCCGGCACCAACCCACCUUUCAUGACUUUUGACGGCGAAGUCAAGACAGACGUGAAUAAGAUCGAGGAGUUUUUGGAGGAGAAACUGGCUCCCCCAAGGUACCCUAAGCUGGGGACCCAGCACCCUGAAUCUAACUCUGCUGGAAAUGAUGUGUUUGCCAAGUUCUCAGCAUUUAUAAAAAACACCAAGAAGGAUGCAAACGAGAUUUAUGAAAGGAACCUGUUAAAGGCCCUGAAGAAGCUGGAUAGUUAUCUGAACAGCCCCCUGCCUGAUGAGAUAGAUGCCUACAGCACCGAGGAAGCUGCUGUUUCUGGAAGGAAGUUCCUGGAUGGCAAUGAGCUCACGCUGGCCGACUGCAACCUCUUACCCAAGCUCCACAUUAUUAAGAUCGUGGCCAAGAGAUACAGAGAUUUUGAAUUUCCUCCUGAAAUGACUGGCAUCUGGAGACAUCACGCCUGCGGGAGGACUCUUAACAUCAUCUGUGUGGCAGAAUCUCCUUGCCCCCUGUUGAAACGUGGACCAAGCACAUCUCGAUUCUUCAGAUGGUGUAACACUGCACCUUUUUGGCCAUGA